GAUGAACGCUGGCGGCGUGCCUAAUACAUGCAAGUCGAGCGAACGGACGAUAAGCUUUCUUCUCUGAUGUUAGCGGCGGACGGGUGAGUAACACGUGGAUAACCUACCUAUAAUACUGGGAGAACUUCGGGAAAACGGAUCUAAUACCGGAUAAUAUUUUGAACCGCAUGGUGCAAAAGUGAAUGACGGCCUUGCUGUCUCUUAUAGAUGGUUCCGCGCUGCAUUAGCUAGUUGGUAAGGGAACGGCUUACCAAGGCAACGAUGCCUAGCCGACCUGAGAGGGUGAUCGGCCACACUGGAACUGAGACACGGUCCAGACUCCUACGGGAGGCAGCAGUAGGGAAUAUUGCGCAAUGGGCGGAAGCCUGACCGAGCCAUGCCGCGUGGGUGAAGGAGGCCUUCGGGUUGUAAAACCCUUUUAUUGGGGAAGAAAAUCAGCAGAAGGAAACGCCGCCGUUCUGACGGUACCCAAUCAGAAAGCAACGGCUAACUACGUG
rnacentral:rRNA from 1 species